AGACAGCAGUCGCCGCGGGAAUACGGAGGGUGCAAGCGUUAAUCGGAAUUACUGGGCGUAAAGCGCACGCAGGCGGUCUGACAAGUCAGAUGUGAAAUCCCCGGGCUUAACCUGGGAACUGCAUUUGAAACUGUCAGGCUGGAGUCUUGUAGAGGGGGGUGGAAUUCCAGGUGUAGCGGUGAAAUGCGUAGAGAUCUGGAGGAAUACCGGUGGCGAAGGCGGCCCCCUGGACAAAGACUGACGCUCAGGUGCGAAAGCGUGGGGAGCAAACAGGAUUAGAUACCCCUGUAGUCCCUGUCUCUUAUAC
rnacentral:rRNA from 1 species